rnacentral:rRNA from 1 species
UACAGAGGUCCCAAGCGUUGUUCGGAUUCACUGGGCGUAAAGGGUGCGUAGGUGGCCAGGUAAGUUCGGUGUGAAAGCUCGGAGCUUAACUCCGAAAUGGCAUUGAAUACUAUCUGGCUAGAGGGUCGGAGGGGAGACUGGAAUUCUCGGUGUAGCAGUGAAAUGCGUAGAUAUCGAGAGGAACACCAGUGGCGAAGGCGAGUCUCUGGACGACUCCUGACACUGAGGCACGAAAGCCAAGGGGAGCAAACAGG